GAUGAAGAACGCAGCAAAAUGCGAUACGUAAUGUGAAUUGCAGAAUUCAGUGAAUCAUCGAGUCUUUGAACGCACAUUGCGCCCCCUGGUAUUCCGGGGGGCAUGCCUGUCCGAGCGUCAUUGCUGCCCUCAAGCACGGCUUGUGUGUUGGGCCUCCGCCCCCCGGCUCCCGGGGGGCGGGCCCGAAAGGCAGCGGCGGCACCGCGUCCGGUCCUCGAGCGUAUGGGGCUUCGUCACCCGCUCCGUAGGCCCGGCCGGCGCCCGCCGGCGACCCCCCUCAAUCUUUCCAGGUUGACCUCGGAUCAGGUAGGGAUACCCGCUGAACUUAAGCAUAUCAAUAAGCGGAGGA
rnacentral:misc_RNA from 1 species